rnacentral:snRNA from 1 species
CAUCUAUGGCUGCAGUGCAUUUAACCUAGAAAAUCCUUCCACUUUUACUAAAGAUUUCCGUGCACUGGAGCGAUCAUGAGUAUUUGCUAAUUUUUGCAAUCCCCUCGAAAGAGCGGGAU